rnacentral:lncRNA from 1 species
GAGGCAGAGCAACACCCAGCACGUCAAGUUCAGUACCCCAGCCCUCACUGCACUGCUGAGACUGUGAGGUCAUUUGUUAUCCCUGUACAGUGGUGCAUCAUGCCUGACUCUGUCACUGCAUCUCCAUAAGGUCUGGACCAUCAAUGGUAUCAACGUCUUAAUUUCUCCAGUCUUGCAGAGGAAGACAAUAUUCCACCUUGACAUGAUAGCAACUGAGGAACUACAGCAUUCUGAAAGGGAAUUGCAGAAGAGGGCAUUGUCCUAGAAUCAGGGAACAGCCUCUGAAACUGGAGGCUUGAAACUGGCUCACCAUGGCACAUGUGGAGGAUGUGAGGUCUUUGACGAGGACAAGGUGUUUGCAUGGUCAUUGUCAUAUGUAAUGACAGCUAGAAGUGUCCAGGAGUUAAGGGUUAUUAGAUGGUGUAUGUUGCAAAGGGGUGGAGAUGAAGAAUAAAGGUGAAAUAGUUUUUGCU